AUUCUCAUAUUUAUUCAUUUCCACACAAAUAUUUACUGAACAUGUAAUAUGUGUCAGGCUUGGAGCUAAGGCUACAAGAAUGACCCGCUCCAAGUGAGAGCUGAUGGAUGAGGACACACCAGCUCAGUAAGGGUGGGGAGCUUCCAUUCCAGACUGAGGAAGCAGCAGAGCUGAUGUCCAGGAGAUGAAGAAGAGCAUCUGGGAGUAGGACUGACAUCACACUCUUCUAAUACGUGUUAAAAUUAUCUAAUUACCUAAUUAUCUAAUACGUGUUAAAAUUUAUGAAGGAACAAUGGGGAGGCAUUGAGGAUUUUAAGUGGGAGAAUGUCGUGACUGAAUUUGUAUUCAAGAUAGAUCACCUUGUUUGCUGGGUCGGAAGUGGGUUUGUAAGAGCAGGAAUGGAGGCAGGGAGAAGAGUUAGGAAGUUCUGUGGUCAAGCAGGCAUAGCUGGACUUGUAGGUCAACAGAGCAUGAUAAUGGUUUUUACAUAAAAGGUAGGAGAAAGAGAAGAAUCAAGGAUGUUUUUUGUUUUCUGCCCUGGAUAAGUUAGUGAAUGGUGGUACCAUUUAAGGAGACUGAAAAAGCUGAAGGGAAAGAGCAUUUGAAGAGGAGAUUAAGUAUUAGGCUUAAAAGGACUUUUAGUCAUCCAAGUCAUGACGACAAGUAGGUAUUUGGACAAGCCAGUCUGGAGAAGUUAGGGCUGGAGAUGUGAAUGUGAAGAUGAUCGAUUUUUACAUAAUAUCUGAAGCCAAAGAGCUGAAUGAGAUCACCUAGGAAGUGGGCAUAGAGACAGAAGGGGCUAGAGCCAAACCCGGAAAUGCUUGAAGAGGUGGAGAAGAGGAAGACAAUCCUCAAAGAGGAUGGGAACAUACAUCAGCAAGUGAAUAUCAGUGGAAGGGUGGUGAGAAGAGAAACAAACGAAGUGAAAUUGAUGAUGUAGGAAAGACAUAACCUCAGGCACCAAGACCUUUCAUAGGGAAGAGGCCUAGAGAGUAAACUUACUACCCAGGGGUAUCAGGAGGAGUGAAAGAACACUAGGAGAGGACUAAUAGUUAAAAGAGACACAGAGGAAGGGACAGGCACAGAGAAGUGAAUAUAGCGGUUGAAAGUAAGCAGUAGAGUACGGGAACAUGGAACCAAAAGAAGAGAGGGUUUCAAAGAGAGCAUGGCCAACAGUGUCCAAUGCUGCUAAGAGGUAAAGUAGACGAAAAAUGUGAUUAUGCCCAAUGGAUUUAGGUGCAUAGGUGGCACUGGUGAAUUUGGUUAAGCAGUUUUAGUGGACAGAUGGCGGCGGAAAUCAGGUUCCAUAGGAGGUGAAAGGAUGGAG
ensembl:lncRNA novel transcript